GUGUCCAUUUCAGCAGCACAUAUACUAAAAUUGGACUGAUACAGAGAAGAUUAGCAUGGCCCCUAUGCAAGGAUGACACACAAAUUCACAAAGCGUUUUCCUUAUUA
rnacentral:snRNA from 1 species